rnacentral:rRNA from 1 species
GAUGAACGCUAGCGGCAGGCUUAAUACAUGCAAGUCGAGGGGCAGCAUGAUUGUAGCAAUACAAUUGAUGGCGACCGGCAAACGGGUGCGGAACACGUACACAACCUCCCAAUAAGUGGGGAAUAGCCCAGAGAAAUUUGGAUUAAUACCCCGUAACAUAACGAUGUGGCAUCACAUUGUUAUUAUAGAUUUUUCGCUUAUUGAUGGGUGUGCGGCUGAUUAGAUAGUUGGCGGGGUAACGGCCCACCAAGUCUACGAUCAGUAGCUGAUGUGAGAGCAUGAUCAGCCACACGGGCACUGAGACACGGGCCCGACUCCUACGGGAGGCAGCAGUAAGGAAUAUUGGACAAUGGACGCAAGUUUGAUCCAACCAUGCCGCGUGAAGGAUUAAGGUCCUCUGGAUUGUAAACUUCUUUUAUAAGGGACGAAAAAAGGCUUUUCUAAGUCGUCUGACGGUACCUUAUGAAUAAGCACCGGCUAACUCCGUGCCAGCCGCCGCUGUAAGAC